rnacentral:lncRNA from 1 species
AUGUGCUUUGAUUAUAUUUACAACAUUAUCCUAAGUGUCAUUGCCUCUCAUGUGUGGAAGGUUUUCUAUAAAGUUACAUUUUUAAAGGAAAAGACAAGUGGAAUAGAAGUUGUGAAGGCAGAAGAAACAAAAAGCAGUAUCGACAGCAAGACCCCCCAAAACAAAGCAAAACAAAACAAAAAAGCAAAGAACCUUUCACAGUGUAUCCCUUCCAAAGAACUCAUAAUUUCUACUUAAUGUGACACAUUAGCAUAGUGAGAAUCUGUUCUGGUUUGAAUUCCAAAAGAUAAGGAUAUUUCAAAUGGGGACCUGGUUCUUUCAGGCAUUACACCACUAAAGACAAAUCGCUAUCAGACUGCUGAUAGCUGACUAUGCAGAUGUGCAUGCCUCCAGUAAGAGAAAACUGUUUUGCUGAAAAUUUAUUUCUGUUACAUUCACCAGAAUAAUUCCACCUGCUCUGUGCUGAAAGAUCUAAUUUCUUAUAGUCUCUGACUACAGCUGAAAUCAGAGGAACUCAUAAUCUUCAUUUGUAAUUGAUUUGGACUAGAAGGACAUGCACUUUAAGAAGCAUGAUUCUUUAAGUAACCUGCCCUCUGAAUUCAAUAGGAUUUUGUCAGUAAAACCUUGUGCCCUUUUAAGAAAGUAGUCAUUUUAAUGACUAUCUACUAUGUCUGCAAUGAGUCUCUGAAGUCAGUAGUAGCUUUGCUGAAGGCUGGAUCAUUUGUAUCAACAACUGAAAAUGAUGCUUAUAAUCUACAUCGUUAUAUAUAUGUUGAUAUACUUGUAUACGUCUCUAUAAUAAAAUAAACUUAUAAUCAACUACCGUCAAAAUUUGAUUUCAAAAUCAAUAAGCACAGACAAACUUCUUCUAUGUCUUGAUGGUACUAUAACAGUGGGACGGUAGUAAGAGAGUUGAUGUCAAAGCAAAUGGCCUUUAAAUUUCAUCUUGCUAACUAUGAAAUACUUUCAGAAAAAAAUCAAAAUAAAAACAGAAGAUUUCUUGGAUAAAGAUAAAAGACUAUAAGAAAUCCGUGCCUUCUUUAUAAGAAAUAAUCC